rfam:Necator americanus N_americanus-1.0_Cont487.25, whole genome shotgun sequence.
GGCCGGAUGGUCUAGGGGUAUGAUUCUCGCUUCGGGCGCGAGAGGUCCCGGGUUCGAAUCCCGGUUCGGCCC